rnacentral:tRNA from 1 species
UUAAAUAUAGUUUAAAUUAUAAACCAUUAUAUUUUCAUUAUAAAAAUAAUAUUCUAAAUAUUUAUUUAAA